AUGGAUCAAGCGAUCAAGGGCACAGGGUGGAUGUCUAGGCACGGACUGGCGAUGAAGGACGUGGCAAGCUGCGAUAAGCCGGGGGUAGCUGCAAGCAAGCGUUAAUCCCCGGAUUUCCGAAUGGGGAAACCCGGCCGGGGUGAUGCCCGGUCAUCCCUUUGCUGAAUACAUAGGCGUUGGGAAGCGAACCGAGGGAACUGAAACAUCUAAGUACCUGGAGGAAAAGAAAACAACCGUGAUUCCCUCAGUAGCGGCGAGCGAACGGGGAAGAGCCCAAACCAUGGAGGUGUCAAGGCGGCAGC
rnacentral:rRNA from 1 species